AUUGAACGCUGGCGGCAUGCCUUACACAUGCAAGUCGAACGGUAACAGGUCUUCGGAUGCUGACGAGUGGCGAACGGGUGAGUAAUACAUCGGAACGUGCCUAGUAGUGGGGGAUAACUACUCGAAAGAGUGGCUAAUACCGCAUGAGAUCUACGGAUGAAAGCAGGGGAUCGCAAGACCUUGUGCUACUAGAGCGGCCGAUGGCAGAUUAGGUAGUUGGUGGGAUAAAAGCUUACCAAGCCGACGAUCUGUAGCUGGUCUGAGAGGACGAUCAGCCACACUGGGACUGAGACACGGCCCAGACUCCUACGGGAGGCAGCAGUGGGGAAUUUUGGACAAUGGGCGAAAGCCUGAUCCAGCAAUGCCGCGUGCAGGAUGAAGGCCUUCGGGUUGUAAACUGCCUUUGUACGGAACGAAAAGCCCCGGGUUAAUACCCUGGGGUCAUGACGGUACCGUAAGAAUAAGCACCGGCUAACUACGUGCCAGCAGCCGCCGUAA
rnacentral:rRNA from 1 species